rnacentral:rRNA from 1 species
UACGGAGGGGGCGAGCGUUAUUCGGAAUUAUUGGGCGUAAAGGGCGCGUAGGCGGCUGGGCAAGUCAAAGGUGAAAUCCCUCGGCUCAACUGAGGAACUGCCUUUGAAACUGCCUGGCUUGAGGCCGGGAGGGGGUAGCGGAAUUCCCAGUGUAGCGGUGAAAUGCGUAGAUAUUGGGAGGAACACCAGUGGCGAAGGCGGCUACCUGGACCGGUUCUGACGCUGAUGCGCGAAAGCGUGGGUAGCAAACAGG